UAGCAUAAGAAAGCCUCUGGAUUUGAUUUCCGGCACUGUGAAAUCAAUCAAUCAACCGUGAGUUAGACAGUCUUUAACUCAGGGUGACUCUGAAGAGGAGGAGGCCCACUCCCCCAUGCCAUGGUGGUCAGAGAGGCACAGUUGUCACUUCCCUGUAAACAGACAAGAGAGGCAGAGCAAAUGAGUCUAAGGGUGGCCUGUAUGCCAGCAGGCUCCAGGCACGUGGCCCAUAUCUAAUUUGUAGUGCCUGACCUGGGGUAGUAAAGAGAACCUGAUAAAGGUAGCCAGAGAUGAACUCAGAUCCUAUGUCUGCAUCCCUAAAGCAUGUUCUCAAAGGAGUUGUUUGCUCUUUAGUAACUCGUGAGCCCUGGGAGGAGCAGUCCUAUCAAGGCCAGCAAUGUCCCAGAUGUCACAGCAUCAGUGGCGAAAUGAAAAGACAUGGUUAAUGUGGGGCUGGUACAGAGCAGCUGAUUUAAGAUGUCACUGCAGCAGAGCUGGGAAUAGAGCUGGGUGUUAAAGACAUGUGCUUCCACUCAGAGCUCUUUUCUCUAAUUCCCUUGGUGCAUUAGGAAACAUUUGCUGCUGUGCAGGAGCAAGCACUUCACUGAGAAAUCACCAGAAGAGGAAGAUGGAUGGGGAAAAUAGAAAACAGGGAGGUUGACAGUUUAAGUGGAAAAAACCCUAGCAGUGUCUGGUACAAUCUCUGACUGAGGCUUGGAGAGAAAAGUCCAGAGAAGGAUGCGGCCACGCCUUCUGACUUGGCAAUAGUUGGAAGUCUCCAAACUAUCCUUCCAUGUACUUAGGAGUUUGGAGAACUGGACUGCAGAACAAAUGCUGGGAUCUGGGCUGAAGCCGACCAGAAGGCUUCUGUCCUCCUCCCUCCUGAGUCACUGUGGCUUACUUGGCCAGCUGGCCAGCUUGCUUAAUGUGGACAGUCAUGGGAGAGGCAUGUGGAAGGAGAGCCGGGAUGCAAUGGUCAAGCUCACCUCUCAGAAUCAUUGAGACACACAGCUUGCCACCAAGGUCCAUCAGGCCAUGUGACAAAGACUCUGACCAGGAACUGAAAUGUAACUCCUGAA